UUAUAAAUAUUGUGACGUGAUUGUGACAAUCAUUUGUCGUUAGCAGUUAAAACAACGAAGUAAAUUAACCAAUAGGUUAUGUCAAUUUGUCAGCUUUUAUUUACAAAGAAGAUAAUAAGUUAUAAUACUAUUAUGAACACUAACGAUAGAUAGAAACACAAAUUAUUAAAACACGAAAACAAUACACAGAAAACUUACAAAUAUUGGAUAACACUGGUCUAGCUACUAUAACAAUUAGCAUCACACAAAAUUCACUCUGGUGCUGUUGGCAAGACAAUAAUGGGUUUUGUAAUAAAUGUGGUUCCAAUAUUUUGAUGAGUUGACCGCAUGUUCUGUUGAAAGUUAAAUGUGGUAACACCUCUUGUGUUAUUUCAGCAAUUCUUUUGACGAGUCCUACGAAAGGUUCGUUGGGGUACAGUAAACCUCCACGAUCUUGGAGUGUGAUUAAUUUCAUUAGAGGUCCAGCUUUAAAAUAAUGUAUCCCGACAGGAAAGCCACAGAGGCAGAGAAUAGAUUUGGCUCUGGUAUUUCAUUCUUUUUUAAAUUGUGUAUUUUAGUUCGUAGUGUCGCUGGUAAAAGUAUUUCUUCAAAGUCUUCAUCAAUAUUUUGUGGUCUCACACGAGAAAGUUGGUUACGGCUUAUAUUACUUAUAGUUUUUGCUGUGUUGGCAGAAGUCGAUGAUUUUAAAAUACCAGAGCGCAAAAUUUGCCGUAAACCAUACUCGGCAGCACGAGCAUCGGUAGUAUCAUUUGAACCACCUUUCAAGCGUAUAUGAGAAAAAGUUGCUUCAACAGCAUCGGAACUGAAACAACGAGUGCGUGAGCAGUUUCGUUGCUCAAACCUUGGUACCCUGUGCAUGCAGAGAUCGACUGGAUAUCAUCAACAUAAUUUUGGAAGUCCUUAUUUAGCCACUGCAGGCGUUCAUCACAAAUAUCAAUAUAUGGUGCAAUACUGCUGUUUAAUGCAUGUAUGUAGUGCCUUCUGCUUGAGACAUUGUGGACUUGGAAAAAGAGGAACAUGUUUUCCAUAGCUUCAGUGCUGCGGUAACGGUUGGUGAAAAUACCUGUAUGGCCCGCAAAACAUUCAUCUUCUCGAAAUUAGAUGGGUAUAGAUGUUUUUUAGUUAGAUAUCUAACAGGCUUUACAGGCAUCCCCUUUUGCAAGUCAUAUAAAGCUUUCAAAAAUGAUGACGAAAUAACACCAGCUGACGAGUUCAUGUCAUGGUCUAAGAAGAGGUUUCUAGCAUUUUUGAUUGCGUGGCAAAAGUCGAAUGAUAAGAAGAGGGGCAUCGGUAGAAAUGGGUUGUUAAUGCAGUUUUGCAAUAUUCCUCCACUUAAAUUUUUAAAUAGACCAACAUUGCCGGGAUGAUUAUCUGUAACAAUCCUCAACACCAUGAAGCCACAAUCUGUUAAUAGUUUCAUCACUUGCAUGGUUAAAGAGUGAAAUUCUUUGGCUUGCAUAGAUGAGUGGAAAAAAUACCCACAUGGUUUUUUUCCAAUAGAAGAGUCAGAACUGCAAGUAUUAAGGCCAUAAAUAUGAUCUUCAACUCUGUGAUAAUACAUUUUCUCUUUAAUUGACAUAUCGUCAAUAAUUAGUGAACACAAUCGUUGUGCAGGAUGCUCUAAAUGUGCAAUUUCUACAGACAAACGUUCUUUGAUAAGGUCAUUUUGUCCAUUGAAGUGACCAAGAUGCCUGUCUAUGGUUGCCCGAGAUGGUAAUUUGACCAAAUGUGUUUGGCAAUAAUCGUAUCCUUUAGGUGAACAGUAUCUCCACACGGUACAUGAUCGAACAGACAUUUCAGACCAUCUUGGCGAUUUCUUCUUAUAAUUAUGAAUUAAGUCUAGUAGAAAAAUGGCCUUUUCAUCAGAACUGUCAGCAUCGCUGUUAAUUUGCUCCAGUACGUCUAUGGUUUUUGAAUGUUUCUUCAGUUGAUGCUCAAUGUUUUUAAGUUUUGCAGAGCAGCGAGCAUGAGAACGUUUUUCUUUUUUUAAUUCUAACGCUAAGGCUUUACAUUUCUCAUGCAAAGCUGUCAUCUCACUGGAGGAAUUAUUCAUUUCGUUUCUGGGAGACAAAUUGGGAUCGUUGAAGUGAAUUGAAUCGGGAAUGGAAGCGCAAGAAGGACCAGGUAUAACAGGAUCAGUAUCCUUCAACAAAAAUUAUAUUUAAAACGAAUUAAAAUUAUUAAAAUGUUUUUUAUUAUUGUCUAAAGUACUGUAAAUUUAAAAAAUAAUUACAAUAUUUAAAAAUAAAUUUUUUUACCGCACUAUACUUACAAAUAUGGUAGGAAUGGAUCCCUUGAUUAAACGAUAUCCUGUAGCAACUUUCUUGAAACAUUUUUCUUUGAAAUGUUUCUUGCAAAUUACAGUGAAAUCUGUUAUUUCGAAUGCAUCUGCAAGUGGAUCAGAAAAGUGUGUACCGUAAAUUUGAUUAAAAAAUACUUACUGUAAUGUUUUUUGAAGAACUCUAACCACCAGGGGCGGCUUGUCCGAUGAGGCAGGUGAGGCAGUGCCUCACCAAUGAAUUGCGCCUUAUUCGU